rnacentral:sRNA from 1 species
UUAAAAUGUCAAGAGACCAUGCAGAUUAGAUCCAACU